rnacentral:lncRNA from 1 species
UCCACACAGCACUGCGGUGCAGCUUCUCCGUGUUGGCAGAAUCUUCCAUGCUCUGCUGGUUCGUUGUCUUUCCAGCUGUGCUGUGCAGUGCAAUGUGCUGGCUGCUGAGCUCAUGAGACACGGCCCGUCUCAACUGAGAAGUGCUUGAUGAUGGCCAAAGAGAAGCCACCGAUAACUGUAGUUGGAGAUGUUGGAGGCCGCAUCGCAAUCAUCGUGGUAUGGUUAUAUGUCAUCCAUGUGCAGAGGUGGCACUCCUGGCUCUUGGUCAGUAGGUUGUCCACUCUGGGACUGUAUUUCUAGGAACGAUGAUCCGAAUGGAUCCAUGUAUCCUUUCUCACCCAAACUCCCUUGUGCCAAGUGGCAGAAACCUGUAUCCAGGUGAACAUACAUUAAAGUAUAACCUACAGAUAGGAAAUGAGCACAGUACUCCCGUGAGAAAAUUCAGCACCUUCACCUUCAUCAUGUGGAUUCUAGGUUCUUUAAACCAGCUCACCUAAUCAUGCUUGAGCGUUAGGGCCGAAAGAUGAACUGAAGAUGAGCUGUUCCGUUUUCACAAGUAAGAAUGGGUGUCCCCGUGCAGACUCGUUCUGCAUGUUGACAUACUUUUUUUCCCAGCUCUAAAUAUCUGCUGGCUAGUGGGUCAUGAGUCCUUUGCAGUAGCACACUUUAUUUCAGUUUUCUUCUCAUGUCACAGUCUAUUUGAAAAAAAAAUAAAUGGAACGCUGGCUAUGUGGGAUUCACCAGAAACGUGAGACAGGAAAAUGAGUGUUGGCAAUCCUCAGCUCCAGCCGUAAUGUCACAGGUGCUUGACUGCGCCCGCCUCUGACAGACACACAAGGUACUGUCAGGUGCUUCUGUUGCCAUUUCUGGAUGCUCGUUCUUUGACCCAGGCACACAGCUCUGAUUUUCCAUCAGAAAUCCUCUGAAACUGAGUGCAGAAGAGAGUAGAGUGGUGUGUGCAUUGACAGUAUGGGCUAGAGGGUGUUUCUUUCCUACCAACUCACUCUGUUCUCCUCCCAGGAUGACAUUAUUGACGAUGUGGAGAGUUUUGUUGCUGCCGCGGAGAUCCUGAAAGAGAGAGGCGCCUAUAAGAUCUAUGUUAUGGCCACCCACGGCAUCCUGUCUGCAGAGGCCCCUCGCCUGAUUGAGGAGUCCUCCGUAGACGAGGUCAGGCUGCUUCUAAAUCUUGAGCCAAGAUUUACUGCUGUGUUUUCUGGGAAUAAUAAAAUGAUUCAGUCAAUACU